GUUUUAUUUAAGUUUACCCAUGUUUGCCCAAUAGACAGAGGGAGUGAUGAUCCAUAAGCUACACAGUGAGAUGACAAGACUGGUCAAGAGAUACUUGGGCUACAUUGUUCCAGCUAGAUUAAUUGUGCAUAUUCCAAACAGUGAAGUAUCAUACCGACAUGAACACCAGCUGGCAACUGAGGAUCUCUUAAUUGGGGCUGAGGCCAGAGCAUUCCUUGAACAUGAAGAACUCUCCUCCAUGUUAAUGACCAAAAUAUAUUAGACAGUGAGAGCUUUCUAUGUGGAAGUCAUUGGGAAGAUGAUGAAGGUCUUUCCCUUAGACUCACAACUGCUCUGUGACCUGAAGGUGUUGGAUCCAGCCUCUCGCCUGGACAUCUCUCCUGAAACAGUCUGUCAUCAUUGCUCUUGGGUCUCUGCUGGAUGGAGGAGACGGCUGUCAAUCAUCAUUAAGGGCGUCGUCUCUGCAGCCAAUCCGAUGUCAUCCUGCUGUUUAAAGAUCUCCCGGCUUGUCACGCUGAGAAGCUCAGUGUGUGUGUUCAGGUGUUCUGAGUUAAAUUACUGUAAAAUAAUUACUGUUUUCUCUUUGAUUGGGGAAAUGAGGAACAGGUUAGGGUAUUGCGCGCCCUAGGAUACAUUCCGCCCGCAGUUAACAAAUGUUAGACACACUAGGAAAGAGGUGAGCGUCUCUUUUGUAUUUUUGUUUGUAGUUAGUAUAGUUUAGUUGUGGCGUCGUAUACGCCGAAGAUGUCGAGUUUGUUUUCUACAUUUUUCUUUGGUUAGUUAGGUUAAAAGGUUUUUUGGGAAUUCAGUUUAGAAUAUUUGUUUUAUUUUUGUUGAUUUGGCGCCACCUUCGUUCCUCAGUUUUUCCUAAUUUAAUGUAUUCUUAUUAUUCUUGCUUUCUAAAUUAUGCAUUGUAUAUAGCUCACACAUUG